GUUGUAACCAAGAAAACACAAUGCGGCUUCUAGAAACCCAUUCAGCUGUGAGCGCAAACAUGAGUAAUUAACCAGAACGUGAAAAGAAUACAUUCUAUAUAUACUAUACACAAUCAACAAAUGCUAAUGCUAACUAUAGCAAAAGGCAUUAUGAUGAAUUAUUGGGAAAAGUUCAAAAUUUGCAAAAAUCAUGCCUUGGUUAAAUCUUAUUGGCUAUGAUAUUAGUA